rnacentral:lncRNA from 1 species
AUCCACACAAAUCAAAAGCAGUUUAAAAAAGGUUAAAAUAAGCUAUUUUCUAAAUGUGCUACUUAAAACAACAAAUAAAUAACUUUUUAAAAAGAGAUGACUCUUAAUUAUACUCAAUUUAUACAUCUUCUCAGUCAGAAAGAUGGAAGUGGGCUGGAGGAGAAAUAGGGAAAACAGCUGAUCUGUCUUGGUAACAGCAAAUAGUCCACUGUGGCUCUGGUCACUCCUUUCUCCUGUAGCUGCUCUCCCCACAUCACAGACCUGCCUCUAUAGCUCAUCUUCUGUUGCCCUAACUACUAACAAUGGUCAGUUCAAAAUCUCCACCAUGAUGGCUAGCUCCACUGCCAGGGGAGUCUCCAAAUGGGAAGAGAAAACAACUCUAUCUUCUUCAAACUACAUCUCGCAGGAAGUCACACAACAUGGCACUGUCUCAGAAGCCUCCUAUAAAGGACGGAAUUACUGCUUCUCCACCUAG